UAGAAAUACUGCACUGGUGGGGUAUGGAUCCGAUGCCUCCUGAAGGAUAACAAAGGCUCUCCACUCUCUACUCCAAAUCAAUACGUCCUCUGCGUACAGAGCGGUAACAUGUCUCUCCAACGUUCCAUCCCGAAUGCUCCAGCAUGAGACCCGACAGAACGUGGAAACCUACAGGCGA
rnacentral:ribozyme from 1 species